UACGUAGGGGGCAAGCGUUGUCCGGAAUCAUUGGGCGUAAAGCGCGUGUAGGCGGUCCGGUAAGUCCGCUGUGAAAGUCGGGGGCUCAACCCUCGAAUGCCGGUGGAUACUGUCGGGCUAGAGUGCGGAAGAGGCGAGUGGAAUUCCUGGUGUAGCGGUGAAAUGCGCAGAUAUCAGGAGGAACACCAAUUGCGAAGGCAGCUCGCUGGGACGUUACUGACGCUG
rnacentral:rRNA from 1 species